GAAAUUAUGCUUAGAAGGAAAAGUAAAGCAGAGGAAAGGGACAUUAAGAACAAUUUUAUAGGAGUUGACGAUGUAUCACAUAAAGAAGACAGGCCUAAGAAAACCACUGAUCGUUUGGAACCUGAGCGACAUCGCUAUGAAUCAUUACCUAGUGUUUCCAGGCAUAAUUCAGAGAAUUCUAGGAAGUUAGGGCCAAAUCCAACCGAGGCUAAUAUGAUGGCUGAUAAAUAUGCUAGGGAUAAACACAGGGAAAGUAGAGAAUCUGAAAUCAAAUUGAAGACGUCAGUGAAUAAAGAUGUAAGCAAUAAGAGACUAGCGGGUAGCAACACUGAUAAAGAUUGUCCUGUCAUUAGAAGAAAAGAUCAGGAUCUUAUUGAUGAUUCUGGAAAUGAAACUGGUAAAAGACGUUCAAGAGAUUUGACCAGGAAGGAGAAAUCGGCAGACAAG
rnacentral:misc_RNA from 1 species